rnacentral:rRNA from 1 species
GACGAACGCUGGCGGCGUGCCUAAUACAUGCAAGUAGAACGCACAGUUUAUACCGUAGCUUGCUACACCAUAGACUGUGAGUUGCGAACGGGUGAGUAACGCGUAGGUAACCUGCCUGGUAGCGGGGGAUAACUAUUGGAAACGAUAGCUAAUACCGCAUAAUAUUAAUUAUUGCAUGAUAAUUAAUUGAAAGGUGCAAUUGCACCACUACCAGAUGGACCUGCGUUGUAUUAGCUAGUAGGUGAGGUAACGGCUCACCUAGGCGACGAUACAUAGCCGACCUGAGAGGGUGAUCGGCCACACUGGGACUGAGACACGGCCCAGACGCCUACGGGAGGCAGCAGUAGGGAAUCUUCGGCAAUGGACGAAAGUCUGACCGAGCAACGCCGCGUGAGUGAAGAAGGUUUUCGGAUCGUAAAGCUCUGUUGUAAGAGAAGAACGGGUGUGAGAGUGGAAAGUUCACACUGUGACGGUAUCUUACCAGAAAGGGACGGCUAACUACGUG